rnacentral:tRNA from 1 species
UGGGGAAUGGUGUAAUGGCAGCACGAGUGGCUCUGAACCACUUAGUCGGGGUUCGAGUCCCUGUUCCCCAA